rnacentral:lncRNA from 1 species
AUGCAGGAGUGUGAAUAUAUGAAGGGGCGAAUGAGAGAGGCUGAGUGUGUGAGGGAGAGUGUGUGUGAACGGUAUGCGUGUGAAUGUGCGGGAGAAAGUGUGUGCUCCUGUGAGUCUAUGCGUAGGUGUAUGUGUAAGAACGUGCGCGCCACGGUGUGUGUGAAGAGUAGGAGCGCGGGUGUGGGAGAUCGAGCGCGUGAAGUUUGCCCGGGAGAGUGUGCGUGGCUGGGACGCGUGCGUGGGGCGUGGCUCCUGGAGCCCCACCUCCGCCGCUCACCUCCCUGGAGCCUGGCGCCUACCUCUCUCUGCGGAGCAGCGAGGUCCCUGAGAGAGGGAGGGAAAGAAGAAGGGGACAGGAGUGGCCCCUCACAGCGGAAACCUGCAAAUGGGCUUGUGGAUACAGUGGGGAAGAGGAAGAAGGGCUGUGUCCUGAAUGCUGUAAUUAAAUUUGAGGUUGCAGGAACACACGGAUGCUAACUUCCUUCAGCGGGGUCAAGAAGGAAGAGUGAGUUCCUGUUCCUUCUGACUUGGCUCUAGUAAUCCUCUAUUGCUACAUAACUGAGUACCUCAAAACUUUGUGAUUGAAAGAAGAAUAAAUAAAUGCUGGCUAUUUCU